rnacentral:misc_RNA from 1 species
CUCCAUGUCUCGAUCGGUCCAAUCGCCCGCCGGCACCAGAGCCCGGCCUCGCCUCGACCCUUUUUUCCUCGGUAGCGGGCGCCCUUUUCAUCCACGUCCGCGCAAAAGCGCGCUCCCCGGCCCGUACCGUCACAUGACCCCCCCGCCGAGCGCCGCGCCGCGACGAGAUGCGUUGGCAGCCUCGGCUGGCCGGCCGGCCUAUUUAUUCCCACCAGGCCGGGACUCGCCCUCUCCGCGCCCGCCACGUAGGAACAGCUCGCUAGCUAGCAGGCUAGCUGGUGCGGCUGCCUCUUCGUUCGUGAGCGCCAUGGAGGAGAGGCGGAGGCCCCGCGGGAGCGCCAGCGGCUGGAGGCGCCCGUCGUCGCGCGCGGCCGGUGCUGCGCUGCGCCGAAAGGUGCGGGAGCUGCGCCGUCUCGUGCCCGGCGGGGAGGAGGCGCCCGCGGGGGCCCUGCUUGUCCGCACGGCCGACUACAUCGUGGGGCUGCGGGCUAGGGUGGAUCUUCUCAGGGCACUCGCGGCCGUCUACGGAGUCGGCGUGGGCGCCGUCGUCGCCGACGCCGCCGACGCUGAUGCGUGCGCUUCAUGAGUUGUUUAUCAACCACUAGUAGUAUAGUAUGCCGUAGAUUUGUGCGUGCAUAUAAACACGCACUUGAGGAUUCAUGCAUGCGGCUUUUAGUUAAUUUCAAAAAUAGCAUGCAGGCAUGCAGCCCAGCUCGUCGUCCCAUGCACGUACCACACUGGUACGUGUGCGCCCAUCAGUUUAACUUCAUUUGGAGAAAUGUUUGUGAAAUUCAGAAAUUGCAGGAAAGAUCGAUGUUGUCUACAAUUUUGGAUUCGUUGCUAUCUCUCUCUUCUUCUUUUUUUCUGAAGGUAUAUUCAUCUUAUUGUUGUUUAACUAGCC